GAGGUGUCUGCAUUUUGUCAGCAAGUGGUGCCAUAUCUAAUGUAACACUCCGUCAAGCUGCAACAUCAGGUCGAACCGUAACAUAUGAGGUGUGUUUAAGGUUUUUGUUUCUUUAUGUUGUAUAUCAAUUUACAACCACAGGAAACAAAUUUGCUCCAUUUUCUUUUGCAGUGGCUGACUUCUUGGUAGUAGCCAAGGAGGUUAGGACAAUGUAGUUUGCAGGGAUUGAUAAUUUUCUUGAGUUUAUUGGUGGGGGAAAGAUCAUUCGCUAAAGUUGAGUGGCUAAGUCAAUCGUGGCAGUGAAAAAUAAUUUAACACUAGUUGCAGCA
rnacentral:misc_RNA from 1 species